GACGAACGCUGGCGGCGUGCCUAAUACAUGCAAGUAGAACGCUGAAGAGAGGAGCUUGCUCUUCUUGGAUGAGUUGCGAACGGGUGAGUAACGCGUAGGUAACCUGCCUUGUAGCGGGGGAUAACUAUUGGAAACGAUAGCUAAUACCGCAUAACAAUGGAUGACCCAUGUCAUUUAUUUGAAAGGGGCAAAUGCUCCACUACAAGAUGGACCUGCGUUGUAUUAGCUAGUAGGUGAGGUAACGGCUCACCUAGGCGACGAUACAUAGCCGACCUGAGAGGGUGGUCGGCCACACUGGGACUGAGACACGGCCCAGACUCCUACGGGAGGCAGCAGUAGGGAAUCUUCGGCAAUGGGGGCAACCCUGACCGAGCAACGCCGCGUGAGGGAAGAAGGUUUUCGGAUCGUAAAGCUCUGUUGUAAGUCAAGAACGAGUGUGAGAGUGGAAAGUUCACACUGUGACGGUAGCUUACCAGAAAGGGACGGCUAACUACGUG
rnacentral:rRNA from 1 species